rnacentral:rRNA from 1 species
UACGGAGGGGGCUAGCGUUGUUCGGAAUUACUGGGCGUAAAGCGCACGUAGGCGGCUUUGUAAGUUAGAGGUGAAAGCCCGGGGCUCAACUCCGGAAUUGCCUUUAAGACUGCAUCGCUAGAAUCGUGGAGAGGUAAGUGGAAUUCCGAGUGUAGAGGUGAAAUUCGUAGAUAUUCGGAAGAACACCAGUGGCGAAGGCGACUUACUGGACACGUAUUGACGCUGAGGUGCGAAAGCGUGGGGAGCAAACAGG